AGCAGCCGCGGUAAUUCCAGCUCCAAUAGCGUAUAUUAAAGUUGUUGCAGUUAAAAAGCUCGUAGUUGAAUUUCGGGAUUAGUACGUUGGUCGUGCCUUAGGUACGUACUGGUGUUACUGGUUCCUACCUUCUGACGAACCAUCAUGUCAUUAAUUUGGUGUGGCGGGGAAUCAGGACUGUUACUUUGAAAAAAUUAGAGUGUUUAAAGCAGGCUCGCGCUUGAAUACAUUAGCAUGGAAUAAUGAAAUAGGACGUUGACCCUAUUUUGUUGGUUUCUAGGAUUGACGUAAUGAUUAAUAGGGAUAGUUGGGGGCAUUAGUAUUCAAUUGUCAGAGGUGAAAUUCUUGGAUUUAUUGAAGACUAACUACUGCGAAAGCAUUUGCCAAGGAUGUUUUCAUUAAUCAAGAACGAAAGUUAGGGGAUCGAAGACGAUCAGAUACCGUCGUAGUCUUAACCAUAAACUAUGCCCGACUAGGGAUCGGAUGAUGUUAUUUUUAAUGACUCA
rnacentral:rRNA from 1 species